GAUGAACGCUGGCGGCGUGCUUAACACAUGCAAGUCGAACGGAAAGGCCCUGCUUGCAGGGUACUCGAGUGGCGAACGGGUGAGUAACACGUGGGUGAUUUGCCCUGCACUUCGGGUUAAGCCUGGGAAACUGGGUCUAAUACCGGAUAGGAGCCAUUUUUAGUGUGAUGGUUGGAAAGUUUUUUCGGUGUAGGAUGAGCUCGCGGCCUAUCAGCUUGUUGGUGGGGUAAUGGCCUACCAAGGCGGCGACGGGUAGCCGGCCUGAGAGGGUGGACGGCCACAUUGAGACUGAGGGGCGGCCCAGACUCCGACGGGAGGCAGCAGUGGGGAAGAUUGCACAAUGGGCGCAGGCCUGAUGCAGCGACGCCGCGUGGGGGAUGACGGCCUUCGGGUUGUAGACUCCUUUCGCUAGGGACGAAGCUUUUUGUGACGGUACCUAGAUAAGAAGCACCGGCUAACUACGUG
rnacentral:rRNA from 1 species